UAACUUUGCUAAACGGUCGCGUGGUAUUGCGCCGAAAGGUAUUACCAUGAGGAAAGUCCGGGCUUCACAGGGCAGGAUAACUGAUAACAUCAGCCGAAGGUGACUUCAGGGAAAGUGCAACAGAAAUAGACCGCCCGCAGUUUGCGGGUAAGGGUGGAAAGGCGAGGUAAGAGCUCACCCACUCCUACGGUAACGUAGGUUUGCUGUAAACCCUAUCCGAAGCAACACCGUAUACGGGUCGUUUGCCCGACACAUACCCGUAGGUGGCACAGACUCAGCAUGAGUUGAAGCAUAUCGGUGACGGUAUGCGAAGAUUGAUGACCGUUCACGACAGAACCCGGCUUAUAGGCAGAGUUCCAGA
rnacentral:RNase_P_RNA from 1 species